rnacentral:rRNA from 1 species
GGAAUAUUGGUCAAUGGACGCAAGUCUGAACCAGCCAUGCCGCGUGAAGGAUGAAGGUCCUCUGGAUUGUAAACUUCUUUUAUCUGGGACGAAAACGGGAUUUUUAUCUCAAUUGACGGUACCAGAGGAAUAAGCACCGGCUAACUCCGUGCCAGCAGCCGCGGUAAUAUGGAGGGUGCGAGCGUUAUCCGGAUUUACUGGGUUUAAAGGGUGCGUAGGUGGGCUUAUAAGUCAGUGGUGAAAUCUCCGAGCUUAACUUGGAAACUGCCGUUUAUACUAUAGGUCGUGAAUUAUCUGGAGGUCAGCGGAAUAUGUCAUGUAGCGGUGAAAUGCUUAGAUAUGACAUAGAACACCAAUUGCGAAGGCAGCUUACUACACAAUCAUUGACGCUGAGGCACGAAAGCGUGGGGAUCAAACA